rnacentral:rRNA from 1 species
AGAGUUUGAUUCUGGCUCAGGAUGAACGCUGGCGGCGUGCCUAACACAUGCAAGUCGAACGGUGAUAUAUAGAUGGUUUCGGUCUGAAAUAUAUCAUAGUGGCGGACGGGUGAGUAACGCGUGGAUAACCUGCCCCGUACUGGGGGAUAGCAGCUGGAAACGGCUGGUAAUACCGCAUAAGCGCACGAGGGGGCCUCCCCCUGUGUGAAAAGAUUCAUCGGUACGGGAUGGGUCCGCGUCUGAUUAGCCAGUUGGCGGGGUAACGGCCCACCAAAGCGACGAUCAGUAGCCGGCCUGAGAGGGUGAUCGGCCACAUUGGGACUGAGACACGGCCCAGACUCCUACGGGAGGCAGCAGUGGGGAAUAUUGGGCAAUGGGCGAAAGCCCUGACCCAGCAACGCCGCGUGAAGGAAGAAGGUUUUCGGAUCGUAAACUUCUGUCCUAAAUGAAGAGAGAGAGACGGUAAUUUAGGAGGAAGCCCCGGCUAACUACGUGCCAGCCGCUGC